rnacentral:pre_miRNA from 1 species
AGUCUACUCCCUCCGUCCGGAAAUACUUGUCAUCAAAAUGGAUAAAAGGGGAUGUAUCUAGACGUAUUUUAGUUUUAGAUACAUCCAUUUUCAUCCAUUUUGAUGACAAGUAUUUUCGGACGGAGGGAGUACAAC